rnacentral:rRNA from 1 species
CCUACGGGAGGCUGCAGUGGGGAAUAUUGGACAAUGGGCGAAAGCCUGAUCCAGCCAUGCCGCGUGUGUGAAGAAGGCCUUCGGGUUGUAAAGCACUUUCAGUGGGGAAGAAAGCCUUGGGGCUAAUACCCUCGAGGAAGGACAUCACCCACAGAAGAAGCACCGGCUAACCCCGUGCCAGCAGCCGCGGUAAUACGGAGGGUGCGAGCGUUAAUCGGAAUUACUGGGCGUAAAGCGCGCGUAGGCGGUCUGAUAAGCCGGUUGUGAAAGCCCCGGGCUCAACCUGGGAACGGCAUCCGGAACUGUCAGGCUAGAGUGCAGGAGAGGAAGGUAGAAUUCCCGGUGUAGCGGUGAAAUGCGUAGAGAUCGGGAGGAAUACCAGUGGCGAAGGCGGCCUUCUGGACUGACACUGACGCUGAGGUGCGAAAGCGUGGGUAGCAAACAGGAUUAGAUACCCGGGUAGUC